rnacentral:rRNA from 1 species
UAGGGAAUCUUCGGCAAUGGACGGAAGUCUGACCGAGCAACGCCGUGUGAGUGAAGAAGGUUUUCGGAUCGUAAAGCUCUGUUGUAAGAGAAGAACGAGUGUGAGAGUGGAAAGUUCACACUGUGACGGUAUCUUACCAGAAAGGGACGGCUAACUACGUGCCAGCAGCCGCGGUAAUACGUAGGUCCCGAGCGUUGUCCGGAUUUAUUGGGCGUAAAGCGAGCGCAGGCGGUUAGAUAAGUCUGAAGUUAAAGGCUGUGGCUUAACCAUAGUACGCUUUGGAAACUGUUUAACUUGAGUGCAAGAGGGGAGAGUGGAAUUCCAUGUGUAGCGGUGAAAUGCGUAGAUAUAUGGAGGAACACCGGUGGCGAAAGCGGCUCUCUGGCUUGUAACUGACGCUGAGGCUCGAAAGCGUGGGGAGCAAACAGGAUUAGAUACCCUGGUAGUCCACGCCGUAACGAUGAGUGCUAGGUGUUAGACCCUUUCCGGGGUUUAGUGUCGCAGCUAACGCAUUAAGCACUCCGCCUGGGGAGUACGACCGCAAGGUU